UCUUCAGGGGCAGGGUGUAAUUCCCGACCGGUGGUAUAGUCCACGAACCAAGUGCUUGCGCUUGGCCGAUGCGGUGAAAUUCCGUAACCGACAGUAAAGUCUGGAUAAAGAAG
rnacentral:ncRNA from 1 species